AAUAGAUACCCGGGUAGUCCAUGCCGUAAACGUUGGGAACUAGGUGUGGGUCUCAUUCCACGAGAUCCGUGCCGCAGCUAACGCAUUAAGUUCCCCGCCUGGGGAGUACGGCCGCAAGGCUAAAACUCAAAGGAAUUGACGGGGGCCCGCACAAGCGGCGGAGCAUGCGGAUUAAUUCGAUGCAACGCGAAGAACCUUACCAAGGCUUGACAUACACCGGAAUCACUCAGAGAUGGGUGCGUCUUCGGACUGGUGUACAGGUGGUGCAUGGUUGUCGUCAGCUCGUGUCGUGAGAUGUUGGGUUAAGUCCCGCAACGAGCGCAACCCUCGUUCUAUGUUGCCAGCACGUGAUGGUGGGGACUCAUAGGAGACUGCCGGGGUCAACUCGGAGGAAGGUGGGGAUGACGUCAAAUCAUCAUGCCCCUUAUGUCUUGGGCUUCACGCAUGCUACAAUGGCCGGUACAAAGGGCUGCGAAACCGCGAGGUGGAGCGAAUCCCAAAAAACCNGUCUCAGUUCGGAUUGGGGUCUGACC
rnacentral:rRNA from 1 species